rnacentral:rRNA from 1 species
UACGGAGGGUGCGAGCGUUAUUCGGAAUUAUUGGGCGUAAAGCGCGUGUAGGUGGUUGAGUAAGUCUGGUGUGAAAGCCCCGAUCUCAAAUCGGGAAGUGCAUUGGAUACUGCUCGACUGGAGUACAGGAGAGGAAGGUGGAAUUCCAGGUGUAGAGGUGAAAUUCGUAGAUAUCUGGAGGAACAACAGUGGCGAAGGCGACCUUCUGGACUGUUACUGACACUAAGACGCGAAAGCGUGGGGAGCAAACAGG